AUUGAACGCUGGCGGCAUGCUUUACACAUGCAAGUCGAACGGCAGCGCGGGCUUCGGCCUGGCGGCGAGUGGCGAACGGGUGAGUAAUACAUCGGAACGUGCCCAGUAGUGGGGGAUAGCUCGGCGAAAGCCGGAUUAAUACCGCAUACGACCUGAGGGUGAAAGCGGGGGAUCUUCGGACCUCGCGCUAUUGGAGCGGCCGAUGGCAGAUUAGCUAGUUGGUGGGGUAAAGGCCUACCAAGGCGACGAUCUGUAGCUGGUCUGAGAGGACGACCAGCCACACGGGAAUUGAGACAGGCCCAAGACUACUGGGGGAGGCAGCAGGGGGAAUUUUUGGACAAGGGGCAAAAGCUUGACACAGAAAUGCCGCGGGGGUAAAGAGGGCCUUGGGGUUGAAAAGCCUUUUUGGGGGAAAAGAAAAGGAGUGGGCAAAAACCCCGGUGGGAUGACGCUACCCGAAAAAUAAGCCCCGCCUAACCACGUG
rnacentral:rRNA from 1 species